AGAUGGCGACCGACGCACGGGUGAGUAACACGUAUCCAACCUGCCGAUAACUCGGGGAUAGCCUUUCGAAAGAAAGAUUAAUACCCGAUGGCAUAAUUAGACCGCAUGGUCUUAUUAUUAAAGAAUUUCGGUUAUCGAUGGGGAUGCGUUCCAUUAGGCAGUUGGUGAGGUAACGGCUCACCAAACCUUCGAUGGAUAGGGGUUCUGAGAGGAAGGUCCCCCACAUUGGAACUGAGACACGGUCCAA
rnacentral:rRNA from 1 species